CGCGAAGAACCUUACCAAGGCUUGACAUAUAGGGAAAAGUGGCAGAGAUGUCAUGUCCGCAAGGGCUCUAUACAGGUGGUGCAUGGUUGUCGUCAGCUCGUGUCGUGAGAUGUUGGGUUAAGUCCCGCAACGAGCGCAACCCUCGUUCUGUGUUGCCAGCAUUUAGUUGGGGACUCACAGGAGACUGCCGGGGUUAACUCGGAGGAAGGUGGGGAUGACGUCAAAUCAUCAUGCCCCUUAUGUCUUGGGCUGCACGCAUGCUACAAUGGCCGGUACAGAGGGCUGCAAUACCGUAAGGUGGAGCGAAACCCAAAAAGCCGGUCUCAGUUCGGAUUGAGGUCUGCAACUCGACCUCAUGAAGUUGGAGUUGCUAGUAAUCGUAGAUCAGCAACGCUACGGUGAAUACGUUCCCGGGCUUGUACACACCGCCCGUCACGUCACGAAAGU
rnacentral:rRNA from 1 species